GGAAUAACCCCGGGAAACUGGGGAUAAUACCGGAUAGAUCAGGGAUGCUGGAAUGCGCCUUGAUCUAAAGCUCCGGCGCCCAAGGAUGGGUCUGCGGCCUAUCAGGUAGUAGUGGGUGUAAUGUACCUACUAGCCAACGACGGGUACGGGUUGUGAGAGCAAGAGCCCGGAGAUGGAUUCUGAGACACGAAUCCAGGCCCUACGGGGUGCAGCAGGCGCGAAACCUUUACAAUGUGCGAAAGCACGAUAAGGGAACUCUGAGUGCCCCCUAAGGGGGCUGUUCUAGUGUCUAAAAAGCAAUAGAAGUAAGGGCUGGGCAAGACCGGUGCCAGCCGCCGCGGUAACACCGGCAGCCCAAGUGGUAGCCACGUUUAUUGGGUCUAAAGCGUUCGUAGCCGGCUUGGUAAGUUCCUUGGUAAAUUUAGCCGCUUAACGGUUAAGCUUUCAGGGAAUACUGCUUGGCUUGGGACUGGGAGAGGUCAGAGGUACUCCAGGGGUAGGGGUGAAAUCCAUUAAUCCUUGGGGGACCACCGGUAGCGAAGGCGUCUGACCAGACCAGCUCCGACGGUGAGGGACGAAGGCUAGGGGCGCGAACCGGAUUAGAUACCCGGGUAGUCCUAGCUGUAAACGAUGCGGGCUAGGUGUUGGCAUUACUGCGAGUGGUGCCAGUGCCGAAGGGAAGCCGUUAAGCUCGCCAUCUGGGGAGUACGGUCGCAAGGCUUAAACUUAAAGGAAUUGGCGGGGGAGCACCACAACGGGUGGAGCCUGCGGUUC
rnacentral:rRNA from 1 species